GAUGAACGCUGGCGGCGUGCCUAAUACAUGCAAGUCGAGCGAACGGACGAGAAGCUUGCUUCUCUGAUGUUAGCGGCGGACGGGUGAGUAACACGUGGAUAACCUACCUAUAAGACUGGGAUAACUUCGGGAAACCGGAGCUAAUACCGGAUGAUAUUUUGAACCGCAUGGUUCAAAAGUGAAAGACGGUCUUGCUGUCACUUAUAGAUGCAUCCGCGCUGCAUUAGCUAGUUGGUAAGGUAACGGCUUACCAAGGCAACGAUGCAUAGCCGACCUGAGAGGGUGAUCGGCGACACUGGAACUGAGACACGGUCAAGACUCCUAAGGGAGGCAGCAGUAGGGAAUCUUACGCAAUGGGCGAAAGCAUGACGGAGCAAGGCCGCGUGAGUGAUGAAGGUCUUCGGAUCGUAAAAAUCUGUUAUUAGGGAAGAACAUAUGUGUAAGGAACUGUGCACAGCGUGACGGUACCUAAUCAGAAAGCCACGGCUAACUACGUG
rnacentral:rRNA from 1 species